UACGAACCACACAAACGUUAUUCGGAAUUACUGGGCUUAAAGGGUGCGUAGGCGGCGCGGAAAGUUGGGUGUGAAAUCCCUCGGCUCAACCGAGGAACUGCGCCCAAAACUACCGUGCUCGAGGGAGAUAGAGGUGAGCGGAACUUAGGGUGGAGCGGUGAAAUGCGUUGAUAUCCUAAGGAACACCCGUGGCGAAAGCGGCUCACUGGGUCUCUUCUGACGCUGAGGCACGAAAGCUAGGGUAGCGAACGGG
rnacentral:rRNA from 1 species